rnacentral:rRNA from 1 species
UAGAGUUUGAUCCUGGCUCAGGACGAACGCUGGCGGCGUGCUUAACACAUGCAAGUCGAGCGGUAAGGCCUUUCGGGGUACACGAGCGGCGAACGGGUGAGUAACACGUGGGUGACCUGCCCCCUACUCUGGGAUAAGCCUGGGAAACUGGGUCUAAUACCGGAUAUGACCUGCGAUUGCAUGAUUGUGGGUGGAAAGUUUUUUCGGUGGGGGAUGGGCCCGCGGCCUAUCAGCUUGUUGGUGGGGUGAUGGCCUACCAAGGCGACGACGGGUAGCCGGCCUGAGAGGGCGACCGGCCACACUGGGACUGAGACACGGCCCAGACUCCUACGGGAGGCAGCAGUGGGGAAUAUUGCGCAAUGGGCGGAAGCCUGACGCAGCGACGCCGCGUGGGGGAUGACGGCCUUCGGGUUGUAAACCUCUUUCGCCAGGGACGAAGCGUUUGUGACGGUACCUGGAGAAGAAGCACCGGCCAACUACGUGCCAGCAGCCGCGGUAACACGUAGGGUGCGAGCGUUGUCCGGAAUUAUUGGGCGUAAAGAGCUCGUAGGCGGUGUGUCGCGUCGGCCGUGAAAACCUGCAGCUUAACUGUGGGCGUGCGGUCGAUACGGGCAUCACUGGAGUUCGGCAGGGGAGACUGGAAUUCCUGGUGUAGCGGUGGAAUGCGCAGAUAUCAGGAGGAACACCGGUGGCGAAGGCGGGUCUCUGGGCCGAUACUGACGCUGAGGAGCGAAAGCGUGGGGAGCGAACAGGAUUAGAUACCCUGGUAGUCCACGCCGUAAACGUUGGGCGCUAGGUGUGGGGGCCAUUCCACGGUCUCUGUGCCGUAGCUAACGCAUUAAGCGCCCCGCCUGGGGAGUACGGCCGCAAGGCUAAAACUCAAAGGAAUUGACGAA